UAUGACAAAACCAAAAUCGUUCGUUUAUCAUGGAACUAUUAUCCCUUCGUCAAUAUGAUCCGAUCAAUUACGAGAUAUGGAAUUGUGUCAAUCUCGAUCAUCGAUCAUAUCUUUCAUUCCACUAUUAAGUCAAUAUAAAUCGAAAACUCCUUUUCGACUUAUGAGUACACCUUGGCCAAGGAUUUCAUCAUCGACUUAAUUGAAUGAAACGCAGAUCAUCUCCUACUAUCUAAGAGUGACGAAUCCUUUAUUGAUCAAUCACAACCUUCAUACGAUUCUUGACGAACCCGAACGAUGUCGUAUUAGCGGCCCCUUUCAGAGCAACAUCCAACACCGCCAAAGUAUGACUGUCCUCAUAUAGGGUACUAUGACGACCUCAAGUCAAAGGAUCAAUCUCACUACCGAACGUUAGAGAUUAGCCACUGACACUCAGAUAGUUAUCCAUGUGGAAUCUCUUAGCGGGUCUCCAAUGUUUUGUUCUACAACAAAACAUCUACAUGUUCAUUUAAGUGUCACCACACUUUAGCUCGUGAGAUCAGCUACUUACUUCAUAAGUAAGAAAUGCCACACAUGAUGGUCUAACUGUAUUAACGAUAUCCGUAUCUCGUUAUUACUUACGACCAUGGUUUAUUCAAGAUCCAAUUAUAUGUAAUUUGUAUCUCACAAUCACAACUCCUUGUGAUUAACAGAUUACCUAAAAAUUGGGUCUUCGGAUUCUAUUAUUUAAUAUCAUUUAUUACAAAAUUAAUUUAAAUAAAUAAUAGAUCUCGCCAAAAUCAAAUGCAUUAAAUAUAUUAAAA
rnacentral:lncRNA from 1 species